ACCCCUCCCCUGCCAGGCCUCUCCCGACGGCCCCAGGGCGAGGAGGGCGACGGAGAAAAGAAGGAGAAACCCCGCAUUCCCCACAGUUCCCGCUGAGCGCAAGAAGAGAGGAAGUGGUGGAAACAGAAGCUGUGGAUUGUGCCACCCGAGUGCCAGUGUGCCCAGAGCCAGGCUGGGCAGCAAGUUAAAUCCAGGGCUGUUCCUGCUGUGCCCCUCCACCCUCCACUUCCUACCAUGCCAAAAGUGCUUUGAAACCUUGACCUGCAGAGAUCUGAAACUUUCCCCCCAAAAUUCCACCCAGCCAGGUGAUCCAGGCUUAUUCUGGGAUGUCAAUACCUGCAUUGUUGGGAAUGGGAAGAAAUCCCACCCAGCUGGAUU